rnacentral:rRNA from 1 species
AUGAUCCCUACCUUAUUGACCGCAACUUCUGUAUUUAUUAUCGCCUUCGUCGCUGUCCCUCCAGUAGGUAUUGAUGGUAUUCGUGAGCCUGUUUCUGGUUCUUUACUUUAUGGAAACAAUAUUAUCUCUACUCCUGUUGCAGCUGCUACUAUUGUUUUCUUGAUUUACCCUAUUGGCCAUGGAAGCUUUUCUGAUGGUAUGCCUUUAGGAAUCUCUGGCAGAGUACAACAUCAUUAUGCAUCCUUCCACAUGUUAGGUGUAGCUGGUUUAUUCGGCAGUUCCCUAUUCAGUGCUAUGCAUGGUUCCUUGGUAACCUCUAGUUUGAUCAGGGAAACUGCUGAAAAUGAAUCUGCUAAUGAGGGUUACAAAUCUGGUCAAGAGGAAGAAACUUAUAAUAUUAUGGCUGCUCAUGGUUUCAACAACUCUCAUUCUUUACACUUCUUCUUGGCUGCUUGGCCUGUAGUAGCAAUCUGGUUCACUACUUUAGGUAUUAGUACUAUGGAUUUCAACCUAAAUGGUUUCAAUUUCAACCAAUCUGUAGUUGAUAGUCAAGGUCGCGUUAUUAAUACUUGGGCUGAUAUCAUCAACCGUGCUAACCUUGGUAUGGAAGUAAUGCACGAACAUAAUGCUCACAACUUCCCUCUAGACUUAGCUGCUGUUGAAGUUCCAUCUAUUAAUGAAUAA